UAAAGUGCUUUUUCAUUUCCAUUAUGCUGC
rnacentral:piRNA from 1 species